AGAGUUUGAUCAUGGCUCAGAUUGAACGCUGGCGGCAGGCCUAACACAUGCAAGUCGAACGGUAACAGGAAACAGCUUGCUGUUUCGCUGACGAGUGGCGGACGGGUGAGUAAUGUCUGGGAAACUGCCUGAUGGAGGGGGAUAACUACUGGAAACGGUAGCUAAUACCGCAUAACGUCGCAAGACCAAAGAAGGGGACCUUCGGGCCUCUUGCCAUCAGAUGUGCCCAGAUGGGAUUAGCUAGUAGGUGGGGUAACGGCUCACCUAGGCGACGAUCCCUAGCUGGUCUGAGAGGAUGACCAGCCACACUGGAACUGAGACACGGUCCAGACUCCUACGGGAGGCAGCAGUGGGGAAUAUUGCACAAUGGGCGCAAGCCUGAUGCAGCCAUGCCGCGUGUAUGAAGAAGGCCUUCGGGUUGUAAAGUACUUUCAGCGGGGAGGAAGGGAGUAAAGUUAAUACCUUUGCUCAUUGACGUUACCCGCGGAAGAAGCACCGGCUAACUCCGUGCCAGCAGCCGCGGUAAUACGGAGGGUGCAAGCGUUAAUCGGAAUUACUGGGCGUAAUGCGCACGCAGGCGGUUUGUUAAGUCAGAUGUGAAAUCCCCGGGCUCAACCUGGGAACUGCAUCUGAUACUGGCAAGCUUGAGUCUCGUAGAGGGGGGUAGAAUUCCAGGUGUAGCGGUGAAAUGCGUAGAGAUCUGGAGGAAUACCGGUGGCGAAGGCGGCCCCCUGGACGAAGACUGACGCUCAGGUGCGAAAGCGUGGGGAGCAAACAGGAUUAGAUACCCUGGUAGUCCACGCCGUAAACGAUGUCGACUUGGAGGUUGUGCCCUUGAGGCGUGGCUUCCGGAGCUAACGCGUUAAGUCGACCGCCUGGGGAGUAAGGCCGCAAGGUUAAAACUCAAAUGAAUUGACGGGGGCCCGCACAAGCGGUGGAGCAUGUGGUUUAAUUCGAUGCAACGCGAAGAACCUUACCUGGUCUUGACAUCCACGGAAGUUUUCAGAGAUGAGAAUGUGCCUUCGGGAACCGUGAGACAGGUGCUGCAUGGCUGUCGUCAGCUCGUGUUGUGAAAUGUUGGGUUAAGUCCCGCAACGAGCGCAACCCUUAUCCUUUGUUGCCAGCGGUCCGGCCGGGAACUCAAAGGAGACUGCCAGUGAUAAACUGGAGGAAGGUGGGGAUGACGUCAAGUCAUCAUGGCCCUUACGACCAGGGCUACACACGUGCUACAAUGGCGCAUACAAAGAGAAGCGACCUCGCGAGAGCAAGCGGACCUCAUAAAGUGCGUCGUAGUCCGGAUUGGAGUCUGCAACUCGACUCCAUGAAGUCGGAAUCGCUAGUAAUCGUGGAUCAGAAUGCCACGGUGAAUACGUUCCCGGGCCUUGUACACACCGCCCGUCACACCAUGGGAGUGGGUUGCAAAAGAAGUAGGUAGCUUAACCUUCGGGAGGGCGCUUACCACUUUGUGAUUCAUGACUGGGGUGAAGUCGUAACAAGGUAACCGUAGGGGUACCUGCGGUUG
rnacentral:rRNA from 1 species